UCCAAAAAGCUGAAUUUUCUAAAAACACACAAAUCAAUGAUUCUGACCUAAAUUAACAUAAAACGUCUGUGGAUGUAUGCAGUGUGUUGACACCGCGUGUUAGCUGUCUCCAACUCCGGCGACUAACAUCUAUUUUCUGAAAGGCACUACAAACAAUGGUUUCACACAUAGAUCAACAUAAAACAUCUGUUGCAUGUUUGCUUUCCGGGUCUUCCCUAUGUGGAGAGCGGUUUGAGUAGUGAGAAAAGCGCUGUAUAAAUGUAAAAUAAUUAAUUAAAAGAAUUAAGUCGCCGUGAGAAGCAAUCUGGAUUGUACUGAGCCCCUCGUGUGCCUCAUGUGGACAAAGUCGACAUCUGCCUUUAACAAUCCCCUUUCUCACCAUCUUCCACUUAACGACAUUAAUUCUUCUCCGUACAGGUGAAGAAAUACAUCAAAUUGCAAGAUGAGUUCACAUUUGAGGAGUUUCUAAACGAAGUAAAAAAAAAAAUUGGGGCCUACAGCAAAUGAUGCACUUCAAGUCUUUGAUGAGACAAAUACUAAUGUGGAGGAAGAUAUUUUUCAAGAGUUGGUUCAGAGCAACCCACAGAUAUGCUUCACAGUAAAAUGUCCUCCACAAGGACUUUUUGCUGAUCUGGAUGUUUCUGGUGCUACCUCAACACCAAGUACAUGCACUGAUACACUUUCAAACUCCAGUGAUGUAGAAGGGUUGGAGAGAACUAAACUGAACCUGUCUGCAAGCUCAAACUUUAAUAAUGGCAGAGAAAUCACAAGUGCUGAAAAGGCAAAACAGAUUGUUCAAAAUGCCCCGAAAGAGAAACCUGGUGGUUUGGAUGUUCUCGAAGAAUAUGAGCUAACUAAAACACUGAAGCACAGCACGAGACGACCGCUUGUUAAUGUUCUUGUUAGCCAUGUCUACAACAUUGACAUAGGUCUAACAAACGAGUCGCCAAGAGAACUACGUGUGAAAUUGUUAAACAAUGUUUAAAUGUUUUUGCUGUGAGAGUUUGUAUGCAAAUAGCCAGCAGCUGAUAUCUCACUUGCGAGUUACACACAGUUUCUAUCCUUCAUUGAAGUUCAGGUUGAUUUGUAUGCAAGGCGAUUGUAGGCGCCGGUUUUGUACUUUUUCAGAGUUUAGGGAACAUUUAAACAGUGUUCAUUUUGAGGAUAAUGGUUUGCAUUAUGUAGAACCACAGUCAUCCCAAGAUGUUGAUAGUAAUCAGUUAGGUUCUAUACAGACAGGCGUUGGUGAUUCCCGAGGUGCCUCUUAUUUUGAGGACAAUGGUGACAGUAAUACCCCAGGUUUUCCCACAGAUUGUCUGGACAACAAUGAUGACUGCCUUUCUGAAAGAGAUACAAAGGCUGUGUGUGCUUCAAUUUUGGCCAAAUUACAAUGCAGCGGUGCGGCAAACAGUUUAAUUUCAGCACUUGUCUCAGAUCUUGAAGAGCUUACUUCUGAAGUUCACACACAAACUCAACACAAACUAUUGUCAUCUAUUCCUCUUGAUAAUCCAGUCAGGUUAGCAGUCAAGAGUAGUUUUACACAUUUUGAAAACCCAUUUGUUUGCUUUAACACAGAAAGCAAAAGGACCAAUUAUUUCAUUGAUAAAUGGAGUGUAGUUGAGCCAGUUGAAAUUGGACUUGGCAUGAGGGAUGAUGUGAGACGCAAUAAAAAAACAGGCUGUUAGGAUCAGGUCCCAGGAAAAGAUACCUUUGUUUAUGUACCAAUAUUAGAAACUUUAAAAUUUAUGUGUCAAAAUUCAGAUGUAUGUACAGUAGAUUGAUUAGGGAAUCUUCAGACUUUUGUAAUGGAAGUUACUUCAAGGCUCAUCCAUUAUUUUCCAGACAUUCCACUGCGUUGCAGAUCCAAUUAUAUUAUGAUGAUUUUGAAACAGCAAAUCCCCUUGGAUCCAAACACGGGAUACACAAAGUUGGGGCACUUUAUUUUGUACUAAGAAAUCUUCCACCCAAAUUUAAUUCAACACUGAUGAAUAUCCAUUUAGUUGCACUUUUUCAUGCUCAUGAUUUGAAAAAAUAUGGGUUCCAGCCCAUACUGGAGCCUUUGAUCCAUGACAUCAGUAUUCUAGAAACCGAUGGCAUUGAACUGCCAAUUUCCACAGGGACAAUUUAUGGCACUCUGUGUCAAGUGAAUGGAGACAACUUGGGAAUGCACUCAAUCCUUGGCUUCUCUGAAUCUUUUAGUGGUCAGUAUUUUUGUCGUUUAUGUUUGACUGAAAAGGCAGAUGCCCAGGUUAUUUACAAUGAGGAUGACCCAAAGGUUGUUUUACGUGAUUGUGUAGUCUAUGAGCGCCACUGUCUUCAAUUGGAAUCAGACCCACAAAUCUCAUCACUAUAUGGCCUCAAAAGAAAAUCAUCACUCAACAAUCUAAAAUUUUUUCAUGUAUGCCACAAUUUCUCUUUCGAUGUAAUGCAUGACAUCCUAGAAGGAGUUGCUCAAUAGGAAAUGAAAUUGCUCUUUGAAUAUGUUGACAGUAACUUUAUGUCAUGGAGUGAAUUGGUUUCCAGAAUAUAUGCCUAGGAUUAUGGCUAUUUGGAACGAAAGAAUCGUCCCACACGAGUGAAUCUAGACCACAAAGGAAAUGGCUUAGGGCUGAACUCAAUCCAGGCACUUUGUCUUUUAAAAAACAUGCCAUUAGUGUUUGGUGAUAUUGUGCCCACUGGCAUUUGCUUCUUCUCUUACUUCAAAUAGUCAACCUUGUAUUUUCCCCAUGUCUCUCUGAAGGCAUGACUAUUCUUAUGAAGUAUUUAAUAAUUGAACACCAUGAAUUAUUCACAAAAUUGUAUCCACUCAAGAAUUUAUUGCCAAAGCAUCAUUUUAUGAUUCAUUAUCCUUGCACUAUACGUAAGAUCGGUCCUUUAGUACAUAUGUGGAGCAUGCGAUUUGAAGCUAAACAUAAAGUGUUCAAAAAUACACUCAAGAAUUUGAAAAAUAUCACCAAAUCUUUGGCAAAAAGACAUCAGAUGGCCAUAGGCUAUCUUUGGGAAACCUCACUUUUGAAAGAUGUUGAGUAUGGACCAAUGAAAACAUUUUGCUGGGAGAGUGUUGAUAGCAAGCAUUUAGUAGGAAUGCAACCGAAUCCCAUGCACAAAACCAUGUACUCCAUGAACUGGGUGAAAAUUGAUGAGACCGAAUACAAAGUAGGCCUCGUUGUUUGCAAUAAAAUUGAAGAUCAACUUCCAGUUUUCAGUCAGAUUCGAAAAAUACUUAGUAUCGACAACAAUAUAUUCUUUUUGGUGGAUGAACUUUUCACCGAGCAUUUCUCAGAGCAUCUCCAUGCAUUUAAAGUACUGGGUGAAUGUGGCAAAGCUGAACUCAUCAAAGCCAAUACUAUGAAGUUUCACAGGCCAUUUGACUUGCAAAGUGUAUAUGGGUCUGAUCCACACUUGUCAUGUGUUGAAAUCAACACCGUAAGAGUUACUUUUUUAACACCAGCAGAGUGUCUUGGGAAUUUAGUUUACACCAAGUGGAUGUUCAACACACUUCUGGUGUUAAAAAAUGAACUCUUACAGUGAUGAUUUCAACACCUGAAAGUGUC